rnacentral:rRNA from 1 species
AUUGAACGCUGGCGGCAGGCCUAACACAUGCAAGUCGAGCGGAGUGGCGGACGGGCGAGUAAUGCCUAGGAAUCUGCCUGGUAGUGGGGGAUAACGUCCGGAAAGGGGCGCUAAUACCGCAUACUAUCAGAUAAGCUUAGGUCGGAUUAGCUAGUUGGUGGGGUAAAGGCCUACCAGGGCUACGAUCCGUAACUGGUCUGAGAGGAUGAGCAGUCACACUGGAAAUGAGACACGGUCCAGACUCCUUCGGGAGGCAGAAGUGGGGAAUAUUGGACAAUGGGCGAAAGCCUGAUCCAGCCAUGCCGCGUGUGUGAAGAAGGUCUUGGGAUUGUAAAGCUCUUAAAGUUGGGAGGCGUUACCAACAGAAUAAGCACCGGCUAACUACGUGCCAGCAGCCGCGGUAAUAC